UACGGAGGGUGCGAGCGUUGUCCGGAAUCACUGGGCGUAAAGGGCGCGUAGGCGGCAUGCCAAGCGUGUGGUGAAAGCCCGGGGCUCAACCCCCGGGAGGCGGGUGGAUACUGUCAAGCUCGAGUCCGGAAGAGGCGAGUGGAAUUCCUGGUGUAGCGGUGAAAUGCGCAGAUAUCAGGAGGAACACCAAUGGCGAAGGCAGCUCGCUGGGACGUGACUGACGCUGAGACGCGAAAGCGUGGGGAGCAAACAGG
rnacentral:rRNA from 1 species